rnacentral:tRNA from 1 species
GAUUCAGUAGCUCAGCCGGUAGAGCACAACACUUUUAAUGUUGGGGUCCUGGGUUCGAGUCCCAGCCCCAGCUGGAUCACAA